UACAGAGGUCCCGAGCGUUGUUCGGAUUCAUUGGGCGCAAAGGGUGCGUAGGCGGCUUUCUAAGUCUGAUGUGAAAUCCUGGGGCUCAACCCUGGAACUGCAUUGGAUACUGGGAGGCUAGAGAACUGGAGAGGAGACUGGAAUUUACGGUGUAGCAGUGAAAUGCGUAGAGAUCGUAAGGAAGACCAGUGGCGAAGGCGAGUCUCUGGACAGUUACUGACGCUGAGGCACGAAGGCCAGGGGAGCAAACGGG
rnacentral:rRNA from 1 species